rnacentral:rRNA from 1 species
UACGAAAGUGGCGAGCGUUGUUCGGAAUUACUGGGCGUAAAGCGCACGUAGGCGGCUUGGUAAGUUGGGGGUGAAAUCCCAGGGCUCAACCCUGAAACUGCCUCCAAAACUGCUAGGCUAGAGGAUGCGAGAGGUUGGCGGAAUUCCGAGUGUAGAGGUGAAAUUCGUAGAUAUUCGGAAGAACACCAGUGGCGAAGGCGGCCAACUGGCGCAUUUCUGACGCUGAGGUGCGAAAGCUUGGGGAGCAAACAGG